CCAUGUGCCGGACACUGCACUGGGCACUGGAGAUACAGGAGAGGAUAAAACAGACAAAAGUCCCCGUCCUUGCGGAAAUCUCCUUGCAGGGAUGGAUGGACAGGAGGAGAUUAUAAAGAGAUAAAUACGAUGAGGCUGGAUGGUAAUGCCUGGAGAAGAAGGAAGUAAAUAGAGGAGGGGCAGGAGACACAGUUGGAGAUAGGGUGCUUGGAGAAUGUGUACGGAUGCCUGGCAUGUGCUCUGAGAAAUGAUUGUCCCUUUUAUGGAUGAGGAGAUGGAGGCCCAGGAAGUAAUCUGCCAACAGCCCUACCAAGCCCAGGCAGCCGGCUGGACCUCCGUGUCUGCAUGUGAGGUCAGAGAUGGUCCCACUGACUCCGUCCUGCUGGGGCCACUGGGGACAUCUGAUAGGGAGGGAUCCGUCCACAGCUCUGCCCAGAGUGACCUCUGACAUGGUUCAGUCUGCAAAGCUCCAGCAUGGGCAGCCAUAAAGCUGAGAGAGUGCAGAUUCCAGGGAAGAUUGAGCCGUUUAUCGCAGGAAAGCCUCCAUCAUUGUUGUCAACCUAAACCUCUGGCACCGUGCGUGACCCGCAGCUCCAGAUUCUGAUCUGAGCCUCUAGGCUCCGGGAUGGAGAAAGGGGACCCGAUCCUCCCAGGCAGAGGCGAGAGGAGACCAGCGGUGAGCACUUGGUGUCUCUGCCACUCGCCUCUUGGUUUGUUUUUGAUUUUUCUAUUAAAAAAAAAAAAAAAAGAAA